rnacentral:rRNA from 1 species
AACGAACGCUGGCGGCAUGCCUAACACAUGCAAGUCGAACGAGACCUUCGGGUCUAGUGGCGCACGGGUGCGUAACGCGUGGGAACCUGCCCUUAGGUUCGGAAUAACUCCCCGAAAGGGGUGCUAAUACCGGAUAAUGUCUUCGGACCAAAGAUUUAUCGCCCUUGGAUGGACCCGCGUUGGAUUAGCUGGUUGGUAGGGUAAUAGCAUACCAAGGCGACGAUCCAUAGCUUGUCUGAGAGGAUGAUCAGCCACACUGGGACUAAGACACGGCCCAGACUCCUACGGGAGGCAGGAGUGGGGAAUAUUGGACCAUGGGCGAAAGCAUGAUCCAGCAAUGCCGCGUGAGUGAUGAAGGCCUUAGGGUUGUAAAGCUCUUUUACCCGGGAUGAUAAUGACAGUACCGGGAGAAUAAGCUCCGGCUAACUCCGUG